rnacentral:rRNA from 1 species
AGCGAACGCUGGCGGCAGGCCUAACACAUGCAAGUCGAACGAACUCUUCGGAGUUAGUGGCGGACGGGUGAGUAACACGUGGGAACGUGCCUUUUGGUUCGGAAUAACUCAGGGAAACUUGUGCUAAUACCGAAUGUGCCCUUCGGGGGAAAGAUUUAUCGCCAUUAGAGCGGCCCGCGUCUGAUUAGCUAGUUGGUGAGGUAACGGCUCACCAAGGCGACGAUCAGUAGCUGUUCUGAGAGGAGGACCAGCCACACUGGGACUGAGACACGGCCCAGACUCCUACGGGAGGCAGCAGUGGGGAAUCUUGCGCAAUGGGCGAAAGCCUGACGAAGCCAUGCCGCGUGAAUGAUGAAGGUCUUAGGAUUGUAAAAUUCUUUCACCGGGGACGAUAAUGACGGUACCCGGAGAAGAAGCCCCGGCUAACUUCGUG